rnacentral:tRNA from 1 species
AGCACUGUAGUGUAUAGCACACAAGAUUGCAAGUCUUGAAGAGAAGAGAAGAUCUUCCGGGGCUU